GACGAACGCUGGCGGCGUGCUUAACACAUGCAAGUCGAACGCUGAAGCUCAGCUUGCUGGGUGGAUGAGUGGCGAACGGGUGAGUAACACGUGAGUAACCUGCCCUCUUCUUUGGGAUAACGCCCGGAAACGGGUGCUAAUACUGGAUAUUCACUGAUUCUCGCAUGGGGGUUGGUGGAAAGGUUUUUUCUGGUGGGGGAUGGGCUCGCGGCCUAUCAGCUUGUUGGUGGGGUGAUGGCCUACCAAGGCUUUGACGGGUAGCCGGCCUGAGAGGGUGACCGGUCACAUUGGGACUGGGAUACGGCCCAGACUGCUACGGGAGGCAGCAGUGGGGAAUAUUGCACGAUGGGCGAAAGCCUGAUGCAGCGACGCCGCGUGAGGGAUGGAGGCCUUCGGGUUGUAAACCUCUUUCGCUCAUGGUCAAGCCGCAGCUUUGGGUUGUGGUGAGGGUAGUGGGUAAAGAAGCGCCGGCUAACUACGUG
rnacentral:rRNA from 1 species